CGAGGGGCAGCGGGGAGGUAGCAAUACUUCCGCCGGCGACCGGCGCACGGGUGAGUAACACGUAUGGAACCUGCCCGUAGCAGGGGGAUAAGCGGAAGAAAUUCCGUCUAAUACCGCGUAAUAACUCCGAGAGGCAUCUCUUGGGGUUUAAAGGGUAACACCGGCUACGGAUGGCCAUGCGGCGCAUUAGCUAGUUGGCGGGGUAACGGCCCACCAAGGCGACGAUGCGAGGGGUUCUGAGAGGAAGGUCCCCCACACUGGUACUGAGACACGGACCAGACUCCUACGGGAGGCAGCAGUGAGGAAUAUUGGUCAAUGGGCGCGAGCCUGAACCAGCCAAGUCGCGUGAGGGAAGACGGUCCUAUGGAUUGUAAACCUCUUUUGUCGGGGAGCAAAAGACGUCACGUGUGGCGUUCCGAGAGUACCCGAAGAAAAAGCAUCGGCUAACUCCGUGCCAGCAGCCGCGGUAAUACGGAGGAUGCGAGCGUUAUCCGGAUUUAUUGGGUUUAAAGGGUGCGCAGGCGGAAGAUCAAGUCAGCGGUAAAAUUGAGAGGCUCAACCUCUUCGAGCCGUUGAAACUGGUUUUCUUGAGUGAGCGAGAAGUAUGCGGAAUGCGUGGUAUAGCGGUGAAAUGCAUAGAUAUCACGCAGAACUCCGAUUGCGAAGGCAGCAUACCGGCGCUCAACUGACGCUCAUGCACGAAAGCGUGGGUAUCGAACAGGAUUAGAUACCCUGGUAGUCCACGCAGUAAACGAUGAAUACUAACUGUC
rnacentral:rRNA from 1 species